rnacentral:rRNA from 1 species
UACAGAGGUCUCAAGCGUUGUUCGGAUUCAUUGGGCGUAAAGAGCUCGUAGGCGGCUUGGCAAGUCGGGUGUGAAAACUCCAGGCUCAACCUGGAGACGCCACCCGAUACUGCCAUGGCUAGAGUCCGGUAGGGGACCACGGAAUUCCUGGUGUAGCGGUGAAAUGCGCAGAUAUCAGGAGGAACACCGGUGGCGAAGGCGGUGGUCUGGGCCGGAACUGACGCUGAGGAGCGAAAGCGUGGGGAGCGAACAGG